GACGAACCAUGCAAACGUUAUUCGGAAUUACUGGGCUUAAAGCGUGCGUAGGCGGUUCAGAAAGUUGGGUGUGAAAUACCUCGGCUCAACCGGGGAAUUGCGCCCAAAACUACUGGGCUUGAGGGAGUUAGAGGUGAGCGGAACUCACGGUGGAGCGGUGAAAUGCGUUGAUAUCGUGAGGAACACCGGAGGCGAAAGCGGCUCACUGGGGCUUCACUGACGCUGAGGCACGAAAGCUAGGGGAGCAAACGGG
rnacentral:rRNA from 1 species